GUGUGGAGUUGAGGCUCGUUUAUGGUGUAUCUUGAGCAAGUCUCGGAGGUCUUUUACAAAGUUCCUGGUCCCCUGUUCCCCGUUUUCUGGGUUGGCUUCAGAUUCUACAUCAAAGAUCCUGAGGUCCCAGAAGGAGUUGCAGAGUGGAACCUCAGACUCUGGAAGCCGUCUAUAUAUAUCCGAAGGCGUUCUGGGAACCCAAGGUUUGAGACAUGAAAGCUACCCAACUGCAUAAACAGGAUGCCCAUCAUCUGGAAGAGCUGGGCGUCUGGAACCUCAGAGAGUCAGCAAGGGUCUGCGAGAAUCUCUAAGAAGAGAUUACUGUCUCAACUCCAAGAAUGAGGCUAGAUCCCGCAUUCCUGGAGAGUUAGCCAGAGGAAGUAGAAAUACCAGCUCAACUGAAAAAGGUCAGGACAAGUACUCCCGACUCAAAGAUGUGUAUUCAAAUUGAAGUUGAUUAGUUACUCUGGAUUCAUUCUCUGUUCACUUCUUUCCCUUCCCUCCUCCUCUUCCUCCUCCUCCUUUUUCCUCUCCUCCCUCU